GUCGAGCGAAGCUUUUCAGUAGUUUACUACAGAAAAUGACUGAGCGGCGAACGGGUGAGUAACACGUGAGCAAUCUACCUUAGUUACAGGGAUAGCCCGAGGAAACUCGGAUUAAUACCUGAUAUUCUUUAUUUCUCGCAUGAGAAUAAAAGGAAAGGUCAGCCGAACUAAGAUGAGCUCGCGUUCUAUCAGCUAGUUGGUGAGGUAAAAGCUUACCAAGGCUACGACGGAUAGCUGGUCUGAGAGGACGAUCAGCCACACUGGGACUGAGACACGGCCCAGACUCCUACGGGAGGCUGCAGCAGGGAAUAUUGUGCAAUGAACGAAAGUUUGACACAGCGACACCGCGUGUGGGAUGACGGAUUUAGGUUUGUAAACCACUUUCAGGAGGGAAGAAAAUGACGGUACCUCCACAAGAAGCCCCGGCCAACUACGUGCCAGCAGCCGCGGUAAUACGUAGGGGGCGAGCGUUGUCCGGAUUUAUUGGGCGUAAAGAGCUCGUAGGCGGUUCAACAAGUCGGUCGUGAAAGUUCAGGGCUCAACCCUGAAAUGUCGAUCGAUACUGUUGUGACUAGGAUACGGUAGAGGUGAGUGGAAUUCCGAGUGUAGCGGUGAAAUGCGUAGAUAUUCGGAGGAACACCAAUUGCGAAGGCAGCUCACUGGACCGCUAUCGACGCUGAGGAGCGAAAGCUAGGGGAGCAAACAGGAUUAGAUACCCUGGUAGUCCUAGCUGUAAACGAUGGAUACUAGACGUAGGAACUGGAUUGACGGUUUCUGUGUCGUAGCUAACGCGUUAAGUAUCCCGCCUGGGGAGUACGGUCGCAAGACUAAAACUCAAAGGAAUUGACGGGACCCCGCACAAGCGGCGGAGCAUGCGGCUUAAUUCGAUGAUACCCGUAGAACCUUACCUGGACUUGACAUAUAGGGUCAAGCUAUAGAGGAUAUAGUGUGCAUUAGCGCCCUAUACAGGUGGUGCAUGGCUGUCGUCAGCUCGUGUCGUGAGAUGGUUGGGGUUAAGUCCCGCAACGAGCGCAACCCCUGUCCUAUGUUGCCG
rnacentral:rRNA from 1 species